CCUACGGGUGGCAGCAGUGGGGAAUAUUGCGCAAUGGGCGAAAGCCUGACGCAGCGACGCCGCGUGAGGGAUGAAGGUCUUCGGAUCGUAAACCUCUGUCAGCAGGGAAGAACGGUCACUGUGCUAAUCAGCAGUGAAUUGACGGUACCUGCAAAGGAAGCACCGGCUAACUCCGUGCCAGCAGCCGCGGUAAUACGGAGGGUGCGAGCGUUAAUCGGAAUUACUGGGCGUAAAGCGCUCGCAGGCGGUAUGUCAAGUCAAGGGUGAAAUCCCCGCGCUCAACGUGGGAACGGCCUUUGAAACUGGUAAACUGGAGUGUGGUAGAGGAUAGUGGAAUUCCAGGUGUAGGGGUGAAAGCCGUAGAGAUCUGGAGGAACAUCGGUGGCGAAGGCGACUAUCUGGCACAUAACUGACGCUGAGGAGCGAAAGCGUGGGUAGCGAACAGGAUUAGAUACCCCAGUAGUC
rnacentral:rRNA from 1 species